UGCAUCGGCCGGGAAUCGAAACCGGGCCGCCCGCGUGGCACCACUGAACCACCGAUGC
rnacentral:tRNA from 1 species